rnacentral:lncRNA from 1 species
AUCCGAAACUCACCUCAGCCUCCUCAUAGGUAUAUGGAUCCUCUCUUGCUGCAAACAAAUCCAUCUAACGUGGUCUCCCUAAAGCCUCGAUCCACGAUGCCCGCAAUCUCGCAUAAAUUCAUGCAAUACGUCACCGCUACUGGUGCUGGAAUUGGGAUCCAUUCUUGCACCCCUCAGCUCUAAAUCUGUGCCAAACCAUCCUCC